AGACAGGGCACGAUGCUUUUUCUAACUCUUGCUUCCAUUUAUAACUGUAACAUGUUACUAAUUUUUCUAUUUUAAGCACAGUGCGUAUGAAAAAGAAGACUACCAGUUUUCUAGAUGAUAUUCAUUAUGACCUGCUUGUAUGCACGAAAUUCUAAUAUAAAUCUACACAUUUGUCAUCCAUUGACAUAUGUACUGAAGGAUCGGAGCUAAUGGAUGAGGAAUAAAGACGGGCUUAUUAAGGUACUAGUUUUGGCACAGGGAACAUUUCUAAGCUUCCUCGGUGGGCAGCUUAAUACCGCCUCCCAGUUUCAUUUAGAGUCAGACAUGCAGAGAUUGUAGGAUGCCUGUCUGUCAUUUCACAAACUACAUAUACGGCCGCUGUACUCGUCAAUGCAGGUGUGUGUUCUGUGAGGGCUGUCCCGAUCUGUCGCCAAACUCUCGGAUAGUUGAGGGAACUGAACCGGCUGAGGCGCGCAGAACUAUUACUUUUACUGUUUGGGGAACGUUUAGAAGUCGAAGCAGUGACCGAAAGCAAAUAAAGACCUUCAGGGAUGGAGGUAGGAUAGCAGAGUGGGUUAUCUCCCGCCCGGCACCGAGUGUUUCCAUUCACGACCGCGGGACUAUCACAGAGCCACAUCUAGUCUUGUUAAACUACUGUUCUGGUUUUGGUUUAACAUAGUAAAUAUCGGCUUCAUUGUUAGUGCUUCUGAUACGUAUUCGUGUAAUCAUUCACAAAAGCAAAUGGUAGUUCCGCUGCGGUGAAACGGCGUGGACACGCAUGUUUCUAACUGUCCAGCUCUGUGUUGUCUGUAACUCCAGUGACGCGAUCGAGCAAUAAUCUGAGUUUAUGCAUGUGGAGCUCCACCUCACUGCUACUGUGGCCCUCAGCGGAGCUGGGAGCGUGUCGUCACGGUGGAGGCAGGCUGCUGUGCCCGACCCUCGGGCCUCUCUCCUUCUUUAACCGAGUUUUCUUUAAUGUCUCAGUUUCCUCGCGCCUCGUGUACCCGCUGGUACUGUAGUACUGAGUGAUGCCGAGGGGACGCUGGUGGUUUCUGCUCAGUUUGUUUCCGAGCAGCUCCAUUUCAAACAAAGGCUGACAGCGAGCGACGCGGCGCAGGGUGUUCUACAGGUACACGCUAAUUCAAACAGCUGGCGCGCGAGCCGUGCCCGUGAAGCUGUGCAUGUCUGUCUGCAAGCCGACUCGCGCGCUCCACGAGGGGUGGAAGCCUUCCUUUCGUCUAACCAGGUGCCAUUCUAGGUUCAAACUCUUAGGGGGGCUCAGCUCCCAAUCAUAAUGUGCUGUUCAUAAUAUGCUCUUUGCAAAUGUAAUCAGCCCUUCUUACAUCAGCAGACCUCAGGUCAAUUGAAUAAUCAUUACACCUUCAAAAGCAGCCUAAUUAGUUGGAUAACCUAGUGUAGUGUCUAAGAAUAAUUCAGAGUAAGUAGAAAUUUCAGUCUAAUCCACUCGUUUUAAUGUGGAGCCUUUAGUUAUCAAACCCAAGGCAAAGGCUCAGUGUUUUAAGAACUAUUUAUGGCAAUCAGAUAAGAUGAGAGACAUGGAGAUUAUUUCAGUCUCUUAACUACACAGAGGCAGUCCAACAACUCAUCAAGCACUUAAACUAGCACACAGACACUGGAAAACCACUCCAAAGACCUGGAGUGGCAGGGUGCAAACGCGCGUUUUAUUAUGCAAACUCAGCACAGAGCAUCAUGUACCCCAAUUUCACGAGUGAAGAAUAGAUUUGUAGUCCUGUUCAGCCAUGUUUAGAAGGAAUCCUGUGAAAUGCUGCAUUCAUGUAAAUAUGCUCUGUUUAGAGCGUGCUACUGGAAAGCAGAGUGAGCGUUCAUGAAAGGCACCGAAAACUACUUUGUUAAAAAUAACUUUUGUUUUUCCAGCCAACUGCAACUUAAAGCGUCGAAGCACUGUGUUUGUAAACGAUAACUGGCAUCCCAUUUCCACAGAGGUGAGGACAGGAGGGAAAAACCCGAAAGGUUUUGCGCUCAUACUGACAAAAAUAUUCACUUUGAGUAUUUGUUUUCUAUUUGUUUUAGGCAUAGAUAAAUAAUGAUGAUGCGGUAAUUAGUCUUUUGUCUAAUCUUUUGGUUUGUGGUGAUGAGAGGCUUUCUCUGUGGUGUUUCCUUAUUAUUUUGAGGAAAGCUGAAAUGUGGAGAUCACGGUUGUUGUUUUCAAGGCAAACUGCCAUGGCUGCCAUACCCUCUGUGUAGGUGACUUAAUGAAAUUGUACUUCAGAUACUUCAUUAUCUGACAGUUUGUAUCACUAUUGUAAUUUUAUAUAAAGUCACCCAGCUGUACAGCUAAAAAAAAAAAAAUUAAUAAAUUUUUGAUUUGCUUUUUCUCAUUGCUUUUUUAUUCCUAGUAUUUUUUUUUUGUUUGUUUUUUUUGUUUCUACACAAAAACAAAGAACUAUAUUGAGAACAUGCAUCUUAGGUCAUACAAAUGCCUACUAAACCAGUUAAAACCAUGUGAAAUGGUCAUUUUAUUUUGUUUUAAUUCAUCAUGGCAUGACUUUGCAGAGAAAUUGCAAAAGGCAGUCUUCCUUCAGUGGAAGGAUAAGAUGAUGUGGUUUAAAAAUGCCAUGUGGCUGCUUUCCUCCUCCACUUUCAUGGCAUGUAUGUUUUUUGUUUCUGGACUAUGAUGAGCAAACCUGGAUGCAGCUGGAGAAGCUUCAGCUUAAGUGGUUAUUGUUGGCAUUACUGUGAUUCUUAUAGGAGGUGUGCUGAUUUGAGAUUUCUCAGAGAGUUUGCAGAAUUGUCAUUAGACUAAAAGAGUUUAAUGAUUGCCCACAUUACACUGAACUCUUGCAAGUCUAGAAAAGGAGCUGUUGGACAGACAUCAGUUGAGUGAACGCAAGGAGAGAUGAGUCCUCCGUCACAGAUGGUGUGGUCAGUGAAGAUGGUCACCUGCAUCUUCAAGGUCAUUGGAUCUCCAACCCACAUCCACUGCCACUGUACGGGGAUGUUGGGACAAUGUUAAAGACUUUCUUCAGGCACUUAUAUUUGAAUCACCUAAAUCUAUGACAGUCAUUUUGAAAGUAAUGCCAGGACCUUCACAUCCUUAAAGUAUUACAAGCUUGUGUGUUUAAAUGCACAACAAAUGUGGUGUUAGAGCUACAGACUACACUGAACAUUUGAUAGAUAGACAGAAAUUGAAACUAGGACUUUGUUUCAUUAUACGGUUAUUAAAGCUUUAAAUUGUGUAACAAAUAAAUAUGAAAUUUACAUUUGGUAAUAUUUAAAAUAAAAUUCAAUAACACAGGCUACUAUAGCGGCAGUAUACUUGUUUGUUGUUCAGCAGAACAGUGUCCAGUAUGUUGGCUGAUAUACUUUUUUGCGUUUGAAAAUAAAAGUUGGGCUGAUUUUAACUACA